rnacentral:rRNA from 1 species
GUGGGGAAUCUUCCGCAAUGGACGAAAGUCUGACGGAGCAACGCCGCGUGAGUGAAGAAGGUUUUCGGAUCGUAAAGCUCUUUCGUUAGGGACGAACGUGCUCUUUGUGAAUAAUGAGGAGUAAUGACGGUACCUAAAUAAGAAGCCACGGCUAACUACGUGCCAGCAGCCGCGGUAAUACGUAGGUGGCAAGCGUUGUCCGGAAUUAUUGGGAGUAAAGCGCGCGCAGGCGGGAUAUCAAGUCUGUCUUAAAAGUGCGAGGCUCAACCUCGUGAGGGGACAGAAACUGGUAUUCUUGAGUGUCGGAGAGGAAAGUGGAAUUCCAAGUGUAGCGGUGAAAUGCGUAGAGAUUUGGAAGAACACCAGUGGCGAAGGCGACUUUCUGGACGAUGUCUGACGCUGAGGCGCGAAAGCUAGGGGAGCGAACGGGAUUAGAUACCCCAGUAGUCC